UUGGAGGGGACAAACAUCCAAACCAUGUCAAGUUUAAAAAAUGUUCCUGUUCCAAUGGUUAAAUACAUAGUACAUUUAAUAUUCAUGUAGUUUUUCUUAUGACUUAAAAAGUGUCUCUUUGGUCCAUCUGGAACUUACGUUGGUAAGAAAUCCAUGGAGAGGAUCUGACUACCUGCUUAAAUUAUACCCAAAGGAGAAGCCGAUUUGCACUUCUGAGUUUUCUGCAAUGAGCCACCUGCCUUUUUCUCCUUGUUGAAAAGAAAUAAAAAUGAUGACAGAAAAA